CCCUAUGGGGUGCAGCAGGCGGGAUAAUAAGUCAGAGGUGAAAUCCUACGGCUCAACUGUAGAACUGCCUUUGAUACUGUUGUUCUUGAGUAAAGUUGGAGUGGGCGGAAUGUGUUGUGUAGCGGUGAAAUGCUUAGAUAUAACACAGAACACCGAUCGCGAAGGCAGCUCACUAAGCUUUAACUGACGCUCAUGCACGAAAGCGUGGGGAUCAAACA
rnacentral:rRNA from 1 species